CGCAGCCGCGGUAAUUCCAGCUCCAAUAGCGUAUAUUAAAGUUGCUGCAGUUAAAAAGCUCGUAGUUGAAUUUCGGGAUCAAUAUGUUGGUCGUGCCUCGGUACGUACUAGCUUAUUGGUUUCUUCCUUCUGACGAACCAUAAUGUCAUUUAUUUGGUGUUAUGGGGAAUCAGGACUGUUACUUUGAAAAAUUAGAGUGUUUAAAGCAGGCUCACGCUUGAAUACAUUAGCAUGGAAUAAUGAAAUAGGACGUUUGAUUCUAUUUUGUUGGUUUCUAGGAUCGACGUAAUGAUUAAUAGGGAUAGUUGGGGGCAUUAGUAUUCAAUUGUCAGAGGUGAAAUUCUUGGAUUUAUUGAAGACUAACUACUGCGAAAGCAUUUGCCAAGGAUGUUUUCAUUAAUCAAGAACGAAAGUUAGGGGAUCGAAGACGAUCAGAUACCGUCGUAGUCUUAACCAUAAACUAUGCCGACUAGGGAUCGGAUGAUGUUAAUUUUUAAUGACUCAUUCGGCGCCUUACGGG
rnacentral:misc_RNA from 1 species